rnacentral:rRNA from 1 species
GAUGAACGCUGGCGGCGUGCUUAACACAUGCAAGUCGAGCGAAGCGAUUUUAAGGAAGCCUUCGGGUGGAAUUAAGAUUGACUUAGCGGCGGACGGGUGAGUAACGCGUGGGUAACCUGCCUCAUACAGGGGGAUAACAGUUAGAAAUGACUGCUAAUACCGCAUAAGCGCACAGUGUUGCAUAGCACAGUGUGAAAAACUCCGGUGGUAUGAGAUGGACCCGCGUCUGAUUAGGUAGUUGGUGAGGUAACGGCCCACCAAGCCGACGAUCAGUAGCCGACCUGAGAGGGUGACCGGCCACAUUGGGACUGAGACACGGCCCAAACUCCUACGGGAGGCAGCAGUGAGGAAUAUUGGACAAUGGGGGAAACCUUGAUCCAGCGACGCCGCGUGACUGAAGAAGUAUUUCGGUAUGUAAAGGUCUAUCAGCAGGGAGGAAAAUGACGGUACCUGACUAAGAAGCCCCGGCUAACUACGUGCCAGCCGCCGCCGUAA